rnacentral:rRNA from 1 species
UACAGAGGUCUCAAGCGUUGUUCGGAUUCAUUGGGCGUAAAGGGCUCGUAGGCGGUUCGUCACGUCGGGAGUGAAAACUCGGAGCUCAACUCCGAGCCUGCUUCCGAUACGGGCAGACUAGAGGUAGGCAGGGGAGAACGGAAUUCCCGGUGUAGCGGUGAAAUGCGCAGAUAUCGGGAGGAACACCGGUGGCGAAGGCGGUUCUCUGGGCCUGUACUGACGCUGAGGAGCGAAAGCGUGGGGAGCGAACAGG